GCUGGGGGAGGAGAGAGUAAGAACAGGCUCCAGUGCUUGGAUGCCUUCCUAUUUGGAGUCCUGGAAAGUUCACUCCGUGCUCCAUAAGCUCCGUAUCCCUCCCUCUAUGAACAAGAACUUUAGGGAGGAAAUAGCAUAUGGGAGAUACCCUCCUCGUCUGGGCUCUUCUGGUCACGACACUGGGACCUAGCCUUCUGUCUUUGGAGGCCACUCCCUCAUCUCAGGGAGGGUCCAGUCCUGGGCAAGACUGACCUGACCGUGAGUGGAGAGUGGCUUGGACUUCUGGGAAAGGCUGUCACUGUCCUCUCCCUUUCCGUGUGGUUGUGUGCAACAUUUCCCAGCAGCCCUUUGGAAAAUCCUGCUCCACCAAGGUCUUUAUAAGAUGGCAUGAUGGCAGCUACUGAUCAGUCAGAUCCAGGAUGGUGAGGCUCUUCAUCUUGUCUCCUGAAAGGAAGCUCCAGUCCUCUGCGCACAGUGGAGAUACCUCAGACCAGCUGCUGAUGGAAGAUGUGGAAACCAAGGUGGUUUCUGGUAUACAGAAUUCUGUUCCCUGCUGUGGUACUUUCCCGCUCUCAAACUCAGUGCAAAGUCUGAGUGGGAAAAUCUCUGAAGAAAGUUGGAAUGUUCUUUACUGGCAGAUUUCUCUGUGUCAUGAAUAGGAGAUUGGGUGUUUGUUUGUUUGUUUGGUUUGGUUUGGGUUUUGGUUUCUGAGACUGGGUUCCCUUCCCCGUGUUGAUCUGGCUGUCUUGGACCUUGAUCUAUAGAUCAGGCUGACCUCAAACUAAGAGGUUUACCUACCCCUGCCUCCCAAGUCACUGAGAUUAAAGGCAUGCACCAUCAUUGCCUGAUUGGGAGGCUUUUCUUUGUGCAGACUCCCUGUAGACUUUAUUCUGUGAAGCUCAGCAUGGUUUAUACUUCUUUCUAGAAACAGUUGUAUGGUGGUUAAGAGUCAGUGCUGUGCAGCCAGAUAGGCAUAGAGGUUCAAAUCCUGGUAUGCCUUCUACUAGCUGAGUGGUGGGGAAAGUGUCUGAACUUCUGAAGGGCAUGUGGACCACUUCGCCAGAGGAAUGGGCAUGGGACUGGUGAAGUGGAACAUGCUUAAACCCUGGAAGUCUCAGAAUUUGAGACCAACAGAAAGAGAACUAAUUCCCUCCUGUUUCCAUGCCUGCCCUGGGACAUGUAACCAUGGCCCUCUGACAAGGUGAUUACAGUCAAUCAAGUACAAGAACCUCUCCAUGCUAAUGAGGCAUCUUAGUGGCCUUAGCUUCGGUCAAUGACCUUCCCUUCCUGGAUAUUCUCACACCCUUCCCCCAAACUAUAUAAUCUUUGCUUCAUCCCGAAUAAAGCACAUGCAUUCAAAUGCACUCACAAUAAAGAAAUACGAAAAAGCUAAGAUCAUCUCAGACAGCCGCUUCAUUAGAGAUCAUUGGGGAAGGCCUUUGCCUAAAAGCUGUAGCACUAAGAUUCUUGAAGAAAGCCUUCUCUCUUCUGUCUUCCUCCUGCCCCCUC